rnacentral:rRNA from 1 species
GAGAUGGAUGUGUCUCUUCGGAGACGGUAUGACAGGUGCUGCAUGGCUGUCGUCAGCUCGUGCCGGUGAGGUGUUGGGUUAAGUCCCGCAACGAGCGCAACCCCUAUCUUAGUUUGCCAUCAGUUCGGCUGGGCACUCUAUGGAGACUGCACCUAAAGUGGAGGAAGGUGGGGAUGACGUCAAGUCAGCAUGGCCCUUACUCCGGGGCUACACACGUGCUACAAUGGCCGGUACAAAGGGUUGCGAAGCCGUGAGGUGGAGCGAAUCUCAAAAAGCCGGCCUCAGUUCGGAUUGGAGGCUGCAACUCGCCUCCAUGAAGUCGGAAUCGCUAGUAACCGCAGAUCAGCUACGUUGCGGUGAAUAUGUUCCCGGGCCUU